GACGAACGCUGGCGGCGUGCUUAACACAUGCAAGUCGAACGGAAAGGCCCUGCGUUUGUGGGGUGCUCGAGUGGCGAACGGGGGUGUAACACGUGAGUAACAUGCCCUUAACUUUGUGAUAAAUUCAGGAAACUGGGGCUAAUACCGGGUAGAAGAUCCUGCAGCAUGGUGGGGGUUGGAAAGUUUCGGCGGUUGGGGAUGGAAUGGCGGGUUAUCCGCUUGUUGGGGGGGUAGUGGAUUACCAAGGCUUUGAGGGGUAGCCGGCCUGAGAGGGUGACCGGCCACAUUGGUACUGAGGUACGGACCAGAAGGCUACGGGAGGCAGUGGUGGGGAACAUUGCACAGUGGGCGGACGUCAGAUGUGGAAACGUUGCGUGCGGGAUGACGGCUUUUGGGGUGUAAACCGCUGUGUCCUGAGAUGAAGAGUGAGUGACGGUAAUGGGUAAAGAAGCACCGGCUAACUACGUG
rnacentral:rRNA from 1 species